AGGGGUAUAGUACAACGGUAGUAUGGUUGGCUCCAAACCAACAGAUAAGGGUUCAAUUCCUUUUGCCUCUG
rnacentral:tRNA from 1 species